GUUCAUAGCAAUGAAAUUCAAAAUGCAUUGAAAUCUCAGUUUCAAAUCCAUGGAAGCACAAACCACCCCGCAACUGAAAAAACCUCCAAAACCCAGCAAGCCCAU